rnacentral:lncRNA from 1 species
AUAAUCUCUUUAUAAUAAUCUUCUUUCUCUAUUCGGUAUUUGCGUGUUGGUGUGCAUGGCCUAAGCUUUCUCAGCUCUUGAGAGUUUUCAAGGAGCAGGGUUUGAUAUUGGCUGCUCUUCUGGGUUUGGCUGCUCUUCUGGGUUUGUUUGCUAUUGAUAUUGGCUGCUCUUUUGGGUUUGUUUGCUAUGGCUUAGACUUCCAUAACUACGUUGUGGCCGUGGAAGGUAUAGAUUUCAGUUUAUUUAUUUCUUUUUUCUUUUUUUUUUUUUAAGCAUUGGGGAAAUGGAUUUGAAUUUUGCUUUUAGUGAAUAUUUUCUAUGAAUUUGUAUAUUAUUGUAUAUGAUGACUUCUCACAGAUAAAGAGAACAAUGGGUUUAAGACGUGUACGGUAUACACAUUAUGUGGAAAAGCUAAAGCACCGGCUAUUUCCACAAACAACAUUGGUCAUUUUCACACUGUUGAUUGAGGUAAUUUAGUAUUUUGGUUGAUGCUGUGCAGUAACAUGGAUGAUAGUUUUGCGGGUUUGAGAUUAUUCUAUCAUUUUGAGAAAGGAGAAAAAAGAGAAUGAAAUCAGUGUAAUAUAGGUUACAAUUAACCUGCAACAUGCCAUUAUUUGAUAGAUGUACAAUGAAGGAAGGAUGAAGACUGUAUAACUAUUGUGUUGGGGGCUUCG